rnacentral:tRNA from 1 species
GGGGGAAUGGCGAAAUUGGUAGACGCACCAGAUUUAGGUUCUGGCACCCUAGGUGUAUGAGUUCGAGUCUCUUUUCCCCCACCA